ensembl:lncRNA
AUGCCAAACACGAGCUGGAUCCUGCUAGGGGAACAAUACUCUGCUGAACUCUGAGUGCUUUUCUUCAUUUGAGCUGAAUCAUGUACAACAUCAAUGUGACGUGUGGAGAGAUUGAGACUGAAUACAGACUUCAUGCUGAUUUACUGAACUACACCAAUAAUCCUGACUGUGAUCAGAGCUGGUAUUCACAGGGCAAGCGUCUGUUAGCAGAUCCAUCAGAUCCUCAAACACUGUUUGAUCCUGCUAUUUCUGUCUCGUCUGACCAUCUCUUCACUUCUCACUGUGUGGAUAAAAUUCAUCAUGAGAUCAUCUGUCAUUCUGCUGAAUUAAGAUAUGAGACUAUAUUUAGAGCAAACGCAGAAUUUUUGAAGGAAACUUCAGGGUUUUUGGUCCUUGUAAUUAACGUCAUAGAGGUUUGGAGUGACAUGAAGGAGAUGUUUAAUGGCACCGACUCCAUUAGCAGACCAAGACAAACUCCAGAAUCACAUCAGUUGUGGUGGAUUUCUGCCCCGAUCUUCAUUGUUCUUCUGGUUUUGAUCUGUUUCUUCUUGCGUAAAAGGAUCUCCAAUUGUAUUUCGAGAACAGUUACAAGCAUAUUUCAGCGCAAUGAUUCAGAAAACAGAGAUCCUGAAUCUGGUGUCCAAAUGAAGAUCACUGAAUCAAUCUGAAUCUGAACAGAUCAAUGGCUCCAUGUCCAGAGGAUGAUCAGAAACAUGCAUUGAUUUGAACUCUGAUCAGUCAGGAUGAUUGAUUGUUUUAAUGUUUUAAUUGGAAUGUUGUUCCAGGAUAAACAAGGAUGUUGAUCCAGGAACAUUGUUAAAUUUGAUUUAUUAGUGAAUGUCUCUGUACAGACAGAUGAAUGUGAUUGAAUAUGUUUUCAGCAGGACUGUAAGUGGAUCAGAAACUGUUUUUACAUUACAGAUUAAAUCGUGAUUAAAUGAUUGUAGCUUUUCCCCAGAUUUCUAUUAGCUUUCAUGAGAUAACCAGUGGAAUGUCACCACAGAGGACUUCUAAAACGCAUCUCUCUCUCUUCAUAUAUACACAUAGAAAGAGUCACGUGGAGAGAUUAAGAGCAUUGUGUUGGGACACAUCAGUCAUUUGUGUUGCAUUAGCUGAAAACAGUGCAUCUGUAGUUCCCAGAAUCUUCAGCCGCUUCAAACUCUCAGAGCAGAUGGUGACCUUCAGAAACCACAGGAAGAAUCGGUAAAGAGAUGUCAGUGAUCGACACUCCUGGACUUUAUGAUACUAUAGCUGUUAUGAUGGAAAUAGUGAAAUACAUAAGACAGGCCACACACUUGAAGAUUCUGAGCCCAAUUUUGAGCCUAAUUUGCACCCCAAGCAAUCAGGGGCAUGGCCCAAUUCGAGGCAAAUUACUUUUUGUCCAAAAAAAAACUUCUGUGGUGACAUUACGAUUAUUUAACUGCUCCCGAUCAAACUCAAAUUGUAAAUAUGCUUGAUAUUUAGGACUCCUGAUCAGGCUGCAUCCUACGUGAUACCUGUGAUAGCCAAUAAGAGUGAGCAAGCAUUGCCUACUGGAUGUUGUGUGCUGCUAUAGCUAAAACAGUAUGGAGAAAGAAGAUCAUCCAGAUUUUUUUUUUGUUCAUAGGAUUAUAAUGUUAAACAUCGGUUGAAACUGUCCGAUGAUUGAUCUCCUUUCACUUGAAGAGAGAUUUACUGUAUACACUGCUCUGUUCUGAUGACAUGAGAAUAAAAAUGACAAAUCAAGUUGAACGCUCUGGAUU